rnacentral:rRNA from 1 species
CUACGGGAGGCAGCAGUGGGGAAUAUUGGACAAUGGGCGCAAGCCUGAUCCAGCAAUGCCGCGUGAGUGAUGAAGGCCUUCGGGUUGUAAAGCUCUUUCGCACGCGACGAUGAUGACGGUAGCGUGAGAAGAAGCCCCGGCUAACUUCGUGCCAGCAGCCGCGGUAAUACGAAGGGGGCUAGCGUUGUUCGGAAUUACUGGGCGUAAAGGGCGCGUAGGCGGUACUUCAAGUCAGGCGUGAAAGCCCCGGGCUCAACCUGGGAACCGCGCUUGAGACUGGAGAACUAGAGUUCGGGAGAGGAUGGUGGAAUUCCCAGUGUAGAGGUGAAAUUCGUAGAUAUUGGGAAGAACACCGAUGGCGAAGGCAGCCAUCUGGACCGACACUGACGCUGAGGCGCGAAA